rfam:Arabis alpina cultivar Pajares chromosome 1, whole genome shotgun sequence.
GUCCCUUCGGGGACUUCCGAUAAAAUUGGAACGAUACAGAGAAGAUUAGAAGAUUAGCAUGGCCCCUGCGCAAAGAUGAUACGCACAAAUCGAGAAAUUGUCUAAAUUUUA